GCACUCCCGGGGCGUCUCCAUCUCAUCGCGAGAAGAGGCGCACCCAGAGCGCACACGCUGAUACCCGAAAGAUGGUGAACUAUGCCUGGCCAGGACGAAGCCAGGGGAAACCCUGGUGGAGGUCCGCAGCGAUUCUGACGUGCAAAUCGAUCGUCGGAGCUGGGUUUAGGGGCGAAAGACCAAUCGAACCAUCUAGUAGCUGGUUCCCUCUGAAGUUUCCCUCAGGAUAGCUUGCGCUCGAACGAAACGAGUCUCAUCCGGUAGAGCGAAUGAUUAGAGGCCUUGGGGUCGAAACGACCUCAACCUAUUCUCAAACUCCAAAUAGAUGAGAACCCCGGCUUUCUUGAACAUUGUUUAUGAAGCCGGGGGCUUGGAUCAGAGUGCCAAGUGGGCCAAUUUUGGUAAGCAGAACUGGCGCUGUGGGAUGAACCAAACGCGGAGUUAAGGCGCCUCAAUCGACGCUCAUGUGAAACCAUGAAAGGCGUUGGUUGCUUAAGACAGCAG
rnacentral:rRNA from 1 species